AACGAACGCUGGCGGCGUACUUAACACAUGCAAGUCGGACGAGAAAGGAGACUUCGGUCUCUGAGUACAGUGGCGCACGGGUGCGUAACACGUAAGUAAUCUACCCCGAACUCUGGGAUAACCCUCCGAAAGGAGGGCUAAUACUGGAUAGGGUCCCCGAGGUGUAGGCUGCGGGGGGAAAACGGGCCUCUGUUUCAUGCUCGUGGUUUGGGAUGAGCUUGCGGCCCAUUAGCUAGUUGGUAAGGUAAUGGCUUACCAAGGCAACGAUGGGUAGCUGGUCUGAGAGGAUGAUCAGCCACACUGGCACUGAGACACGGGCCAGACUCCUACGGGAGGCAGCAGUGGGGAAUUUUGCGCAAUGGGCGAAAGCCUGACGCAGUAACGCCGCGUGGAGGAUGAAGGCCUUCGGGUUGUAAACUCCUGUCAGGAGGAACGACGGGGAAGGGGUGAUAAACCCUUUCCUCCAGACGGUACCUCCAAAGGAAGCCCCGGCUAAUUCCGUGCCAGCAGCCGCGGUAA
rnacentral:rRNA from 1 species